CAAGAAAGGGAUCGUUUGUUGGCUGAAGGUGAAAAUCUCGCUGCUAAUAAUGAUAGACAAACAUAGAAAUUUUAAGAUACUCAUGCUGCCCAGAAAUUAAAUCACUUGAGGCACAGAUUUAGGAUCUUAAGAAGAACCAGGUUUAGCUUUUAAAGCGAAAGCAGAAGAGUGAUGAAGCAGCAAAACAGUUGCAAGAAGAAAUUCGAUUCAUCAAGGCCUGAAAGGUUCAACUGUAACAAAAGAUAAAACAAGAGGCAAAACAAUUUCGACAUUGGAAAGCCUCUCAAGAGAAGGAAAUGCUGUAAGUACAAUUUCGACAUUGGAUACAUGGACUAGCCAUAUGCAACAUUAGGCCUUCAAAUUGUAUAUCUACUAAUGGAUACAUGGACUAGCCACAUGCAAGAUGAGGGAUGGGAAUGUACUUGUUUCCUUUAUCCAAAAGUACCUGAUAAGGAAACUAGCUCUUAUAAGCCAAGAUGAGGGGCUUUUGUAUGCUACAAGGUGUCUCUUUGGAGGUGUUGGGCUCUGUUGGGUGUGGUUCUGGUAUGUAAUAAUCCUGUUAGCUCUUCUUUGUUGCUGUGUUUCAUAUGUAGGCAUAUGGGAAUAUGAAUAGUUUAUGUUCCUUCGAAGAACCUUUCAGUAGUUCUUUUUGUGAUGUUUUACAAACAAUAAAAUGGAGUUGAAUUGGAUUAAUGCAAGUUGUUCCUUUAAUCCCAUCAUUUAAUUCAUGGAUCUUAGUAC